GGACCAAGGAGUCUAGCAUUGGGUACGCAAGUCAUUAGGAUAAUAAAACCCAAAGGCGCAAUGAAAGUGAACGUCUAUGUAGCUGUUGUGCUAGACUAAGGGAAGAUGGGUGGCGCCAGUUGCCUCUUGGCAAUUGGCCUCGCACUCCCGGGGCGUUCGCGCACUCAUUGCGAGGUGGGCGCACCAAGAGCGUACACGCUGGGACCC
rnacentral:rRNA from 1 species